rnacentral:rRNA from 1 species
UCCAGACUCCUACGGGAGGCAGCAGUGGGGGAUAUUGCACAAUGGGGGAAACCCUGAUGCAGCGACGCCGCGUGGGUGAAGAAGUAUUUCGGCAUGUAAAGCCCUAUCAGCAGGGAAGAAAGAAGACGGUACCUGACUAAGAAGCCCCGGCUAACUACGUGCCAGCAGCCGCGGUAAUACGUAGGGGGCGAGCGUUAUCCGGAUUCACUGGGUGUAAAGGGAGCGUAGACGGCCGUGCAAGCCAGGAGUGAAAGCCCGGGGCCCAACCCCGGGACUGCUCUUGGAACUGUGCGGCUGGAGUGCGGGAGGGGCAGGCGGAAUUCCUGGUGUAGCGGUGAAAUGCGUAGAUAUCAGGAGGAACACCGGCGGCGAAGGCGGCCUGCUGGACCGCGACUGACGUUGAGGCUCGAAAGCGUGGGGAGCGAACAGGAUUAGAUACCCGAGUA